GCGCACGCUGGCGGCAGGCUUAACACAUGCAAGUCGAGCGGGCAUCCUUGUGGUGUCAGCGGCAGACGGGUGAGUAACGCGUGGGAACGUGCCCUUCGGUUCGGAAUAACUCAGGGAAACUUGAGCUAAUACCGGAUACGUGCGAGAGCAGAAAGGUUUAUCUGCCGAAGGAUCGGCCCGCGUCUGAUUAGCUAGUUGGUGAGGUUAUGGCUCACCAAGGCGACGAUCAGUAGCUGGUCUGAGAGGAUGAUCAGCCACACUGGGACUGAGACACGGCCCAGACUCCUACGGGAGGCAGCAGUGGGGAAUAUUGGACAAUGGGGGCAACCCUGAUCCAGCCAUGCCGCGUGAGUGAUGACGGCCUUAGGGUUGUAAAGCUCUUUUCUCCGGGACGAUAAUGACGGUACCGGAGGAAUAAGCCCCGGCUAACUUCGUG
rnacentral:rRNA from 1 species